rnacentral:rRNA from 1 species
AUUGAACGCUGGCGGCAGGCUUAACACAUGCAAGUCGAGCGGGGAAGGGUAGCUUGCUACCUAACCUAGCGGCGGACGGGUGAGUAAUGCUUAGGAAUCUGCCAUUUAGUGGGGGACAACAUUCCGAAAGGAAUGCUAAUACCGCAUACGUCCUACGGGAGAAAGCAGGGGAUCUUCGGACCUUGCGCUAAAUGAUGAGCCUAAGUCGGAUUAGCUAGGUGGUGGGGUAAAGGCCUACCAAGGCGACGAUCUGUAGCGGGUCUGAGAGGAUGAUCCGCCACACUGGGACUGGGGCACGGCCCAGACUCCUGCGGGGGGCAGCAGUGGGGAAUAUUGGACAAUGGGCGGAAGCCUGAUCCAGCCAUUCCGCGUGUGUGAAGAAGGCCUUAUGGUUGUAAAGCACUUUAAGCGAGGAGGAGGCCACUUAGAUUAAUACUCUAGGAUAGUGGACGUUACUCGCAGAGUAAGCACCGGCUAACUCUGUGCCAGCCGCCGCAGUAA